rnacentral:lncRNA from 1 species
GUAGGGAGCUCGGCGUCGUAAGCUCUGACUCUCAGAUCAGUGGGCACUAGAACUACGAACGCUUAUUCAUUAGGAAUAAAAGUGUCCCAAGCGGGACUUUCUCAGCUGAGAGAAAUGCUCCGUGUCUUGAUGGGAAUGUGAGUUUGUCGGCGGCCGCGUUGCCAAAGUCACUGAGUCACGCACAGAAGCACUGAGCAUCUCACUGCGUGUAAAUUCUGUCUCCACAACUGAGCAAGGGCUGAACACUAGUCACCUGUUUUGUGCAGGGGAGUGAGUUAGCAAUUCUGAAGCCAUCUUGUUUAACACAGGGGAAGUAUCUUGAGGGGAGUGGUCUGUCUCUGACUGCUGGGGAGGACGUGGACAUGCGUGGACUACGUUACAUCGGAGAAGUUUCAGCCUCCUAAACGCCUAUCAUCUGGCUCUGCCCACUGAGAGGGCCCAAGAGCAUCGAGCUCGCCAAGGGUCCGGAGCUUGGUUUCCAAAUCUCAUUCUCCACUGACGAGAACCAGGGUCCCGGAGAAAGAGCCGAGUCCAAGACCGAGGCGGGGGAGCCUUGAUGCCUUAGAGAGUGAGAAAGUCUUCAGAGAACGCUGGUGCGCGUUCAGAGACACUUAAACAGCUCAAAGAGGCUCCCAUCAGCCAGAGCUGGGACCAUUUUACAGCCAAACUGAGUGACCGUAGUAAAGUAUUGUGAUAAUUAACACGAUAAAAAUCCAUGAGUUUAGCCUGGUGUGGUGGCACCGUGGAGGCCAGAAGAUCCCUUGAGCCCAGGAGUUUGAGGCCAGCCUGGGCAUCCAGCCAGACCUGUCGCUACAAAAAGGAAAAACAAAAAAGACUCUAUAAGUCUAUACUGAUAUAAUUGAAACAAAUAAAUAAGUGGUGUUAGUAAGUGACUGAUUAAAUAAAUAAAUGAAAAGGAAAAGUUUUCACUCACAGCAGAAUGACAGCAAAUAAAUAUAGAAGGAACGGGUGGUGAGUUUAGAAAAUCAUGAGUGAAAAGAAACAGGACAAAAAGUAUCUUCCCACGAGUUACUCACUUAUUAGUUACAAAUGGAAAUGUUAUAACUUUGGUGGAGAAAACUGGCCAACAGCCCCUUAACCACGUGAUCAAAGUCAGCAUCAGCAUGGAGGCAGGACCGCCUCGCCUGCACCGGGGUAUUAACAGGAAGCCUGGAGAGGCCACUGGGGCUUCAGCGUGCUGCUGCUGCACAGACAACACCUGCAUGGGACGUGGAGGAGGCAUCAGCAAACCCAGAUUGAGGGGGCUGGAAGAAAUCACUGGGCUGAACUCGGAGUGUGUCAAGCUGCAUCUGAAAGGUGAGGGUGCAUGGGAUGGAAGAGGAUCUAGCGGGUGGACGUGAUCACAGCAGCUGCAUCUGGAAGGCGAGGGUGCAUGGGAUGGAAGCAGAUCUGGUGGGUGGAGGUGAGGACUACUGCAGCUGCAUCUGGAAG